AAGGGAAGCUUUCACAAGGUGAUACUAUACCAUCACUCUUCAAGUAAGGUAACAUCUUAAGGUACUUGAUUAUCAUUUUUAUAAGCUUCUCCUUGGUUCUAGUGUUCACAUGAAUAAAAUAGACAAACAUGUAUGAUUUAUAACUCUAGAUUAACCAACCCAAUUAAUUCAGCAUGUUUAGUCCUUUAAUCUUUGUUCCUAGUACUACCUCCAUGAUCCUACACUCCUAAUCAUAUAAGCUAAAGUAUUGCACAUUCAAUCUUUGGAAGAUAUAAACAAAACAUAAAUAUAGAUAGAUUAUCUUUCCAUUAGGUUGAGCCAUCUGAUCUGACAAAUGCUACACUCAUGAUCCAUCAACUUUGUCUUGCUCACUAUGCUUAAGGUUAGAGAAGAACAAAUACACUUUUGGUUCUGUUGGUGUUUUCCACCAACAGGGCCCAUGCACUUGAUCUCUGCCUUGUCUCUAUGAAUAGGUACACUUCAAGCAAAACAUGGAGGAGUUUUACAACUCCCAGACUCCACCAAGUGAAGGACCUGGAUCUAUGAGCACAAACACACUGAGCAAGAUAUUGCCAACACUGCACUUUGAACUGCUGGGCAAUCAAAGAAUAUAGGUGACACCGUAUCAAGAAGUGCAGAUGUCAAGGUCCACACCUAAUCAAAUGAUGCACCUAAAGGACGAAGACAGUGAGAAGUCUUGUCCAGAAGAUUUAAAACUUUGGAUCCUUGUCGGAGGAGGUCAAGAUCGUCGACUCAAGUCACCUUUCUUGAUCAAGAAGGAUGACCAUGGUGUUCCAAGCAUUGAGUGCACAAUCAACAGAUACUCUUUUUAGAAGACACUCUACGACACCGGAUCUGACGUCAACAUAAUGGCCGUAGUCACUUAUCAGCUCCUGCAUGGAACCAUGCCCCUACAACCAAUAUAUAUUCAGCUCUAGAUGACUUUCAGAUCAUUGACAUGGGAGAAGACAAGUACGAUCCACCCAUCAUCCUUGGAAGACCAUUCCUCAACACUAUCAAAACUCUAAGCAGGUCAGGACAAGAAGAAGACAAGGCAACCGCAACCAGAGGAGGCAAAUCAUCAAGGACGGAUGGGUAGACUACCAAGGAGAAGUGAUAAGGUCUGUAGACAUUUAGCUUGAACAAAACUGUCCUGAGGAGACCAUAGCACCGAGUCAGGUGUGGAGAGAGAAGAUAGUUACACACGAAGAGGAGGCGCCGCUGGAACCACCAACUACGCCAUCCAGCGAAUACCAGGAUGACUAAGAAGAGUCCCGUUCGGAGGACUCAAAAACACCAAACGCCUUGCCAAGAGGUAAACUUGGUAGUUAUCCUUUUCCUUUCAAUAGUUUGCUUAGUUAAUCAGGUUCAUAUCAUCUCGAAAAGAAAAUAAAAAUGUUAAAAAAUAGUAAGCCCCAUGUGAUUAUGCUCAUGGCAUAAAACCCAUAGGUACAUUCACCGUGGUGGCAUAAAAUAAAUAUGUUUUCAUCUUACAAUGUUAAAAAUCAAAGGUACAUGAUCCUGCUAAAUAAAUAAUAUUUAUCAAGGAGGCUCAACAUGAUAAAGGCUAGAUAUUUAUGCUAACACCUAAUCAGUUCCACAAAGCUUUGUUGUCUAUUUGAGCUCCACAGAAUUCAAGGAUCAAAGAAGACUAGCACACGGAGGACAUCCUAAUCGCUGUCAGGGUGCUGCCGACAUUCAAAUAUACCUCCGCCACCUGCUAGCUACAUCAGAGAAAAUUACGUCAAAAUCUAGCUUGGGGGAGAGCACCCUCAUUUAUCUAGCUAUGUGUUUCUACUCGCGUUUAUACUUUACUCAAAUAAUAAAAAGAUGCAUAAUCAUAAAAACCCAAAUAAAGAUUUUGUGCUUAUACAUAUAUAUAUCUUUGCUUAGUUUGCUAAAUAAAUAAAUAAAUAAAGUUUGCUAUGAACCCUCAUGAUAAACUCUCACAUGGAAAUGCUGCAUAGUUGCUCUGCCAUGACUAGUUCUUAAAAUUGAAAUCUCUCUAAAGUUUAGGCAAAAUUAUUAUAAUUUAAACCUGCUCUAAACCUAAACUUGUGGGAAGAGUACUUGAUCUAAAGUCUAAGUUGUUAACGGAUAUGAUAUGGGAAGGUUGAGCUGCUGUUUAUCUGUUCCUAGAGAUGCUAGAAUUCUGGAGAAUUUUAUCUUUCAAAAAUCUUUAAAAUAUCACAUGAUGAGUUCCUGUAUGAUGAGAGUUUAAAAUCCUACCACAGCCAUAUAUACAUGCUUAUUAGACUUUGAGCCACACAUUUACUUUUUACUGCUUAUGAGCAUUGAGUGCGGUCAAGUUGUGUAGACCCUUAGGAGCUUGUCAUGCGGUUAAAAUCAAGAUUCACUUGCACGUUCACUCAUACAUGCUGCUUCUACUCUGGAAGUGCGCAUCCACAUACAUCCACUCAUUUCCAUCUCCAGAUUCACCCAAAAUUAUUCUACUCCUAUCUAGGAGAGGAUAGCCAAAAACAUUAUCCUAUCCCUGUUAUUCCCCAUGAAAUAAAUGCUGGAGAUAUUUUGGUUACUAGCACUUGCUGCAUUAUUCUAGGAGAGUCAGUGCUCUGAAAAAAAAGAGAAAAACGAAAAUAUACGAGGAAAUAAAAAGGGGCAAGUGCCCGGAACCUUGAAAGAAAAGAAAAAGUGAGACGAGAGGUAAAAAUGGACAAGUGUCCGACAGUAGAAUUAGGGGUACAUGAUACCCACCUGAGAGAAAAGAAAAAGAAAAUAUAGAGCAUCUCAUUCUCCUCAAAAAGCUUCAAAGUGCAAGAAAGGUAUGUAUCCCCUUAAAAGAGCAAAAAUAGAAUUAGACUUUCACCUUUGUUAUCACCAUCAUCACCAUACACCAUUGAUUCGCCACACAUGCACAUCUUGAUUUGACUUAUUGACUUGUUUCUCUGGAUCCAUGGUUUGACUAUGCAAUAAAUGUCUUGUAAGUAUGUAUUAGCUGUCUCCCACCUAUGAGCUCCACAUAUCAAAACCUUAUUAGAGUAGGGUGAGAGAGAAGGCAAUAUCACUAUGCCUUAUACCAAAAAUACCACAUACUUUGAGAGAAGGCAUAUACCAUUACUGCCUUGGAAAGGUUCUAGAAAUACCACAAAAGAGAGAUUUGAGAGUCAUACAAGGAAUCUGUGAGUUUUAUUUGAAAAUCUGCAAAAACUCCAGAGCUAUAGCUGAUCAAGAAUAAGAGACAUGGCGCUUGACUUGACCGUUCUGUCUUUUAACUGCUCAAGACACAAGUGACGGUUACAAGCCCCACGGUGAAAGGUAAAAUGAGUAAGUUUUAAGUCUUAACAGUUUAUUCUAACUCAGAGAUGAGAUCUUGCUUGAAUGCGUGUGUACUUUUAAGGCAUAAAACCACUGCAGAAACUCUUGAGUUCAUCCUUGCUCAGGGAUGAGCAACAGGUAAGCUUGGGGGAGUUGUUGAUGGUCCUUAAGUACCAAAUAUAAUCAUCAAAUAAAUAAAGAAAAGGAUCCAAAUGCAACCAACACCUAGACUUAGGGUUUUAUCUGACAGAAUUCCACGAGUUUUAGUGUUUGUCUAUUUCUGAGGGGGUCAGGAAAUACGGAAGAAAGGCCCACAUGUCUGGAUUACAUAGAGAUAUCAACGCACCGUGCAAUUUUCUACCAUCUAGAAGACUACAGAAGCCACGGGGAGAAAGCAGAGGCCGAAAGCGGCAAGGCCCAGGGCGCCCGCCCUGUCCUGGACUCUGUUCGGGACUCUCUUCGCACACGAUGUUCUGCCGACCUAAAGGAUCAAGGAUAACAUAGUACCACAUCGCCUACCGACCCAAAAAUGCAUAGAGGAGGAGGACUAUAUAAGGAGACCCCCCUGGCCCCUGGAGAAGACAAGAAGUUUUUCAUAGAGUUGAGGGGAGCCCUCGAAGGAAAACCUCUUCUCUAAAUAAUAUUUCUUUUUAGGCUUAGCAACCAAUGUAAGUAGAAAUAGAUCUUCUAAGAUUGAGAGAGAUAGAGUGGAGGUCUAGAUUGGAGGAAGGCCGGCC
rnacentral:lncRNA from 1 species